rnacentral:rRNA from 1 species
AUUGAACGCUGGCGGCAGGCUUAACACAUGCAAGUCGAGCGGGGUGCUGGUGCUUGCACUAUCACUUAGCGGCGGACGGGUGAGUAAUGCUUAGGAAUCUGCCUAUUAGUGGGGGACAACAUCUCGAAAGGGAUGCCACUCCCGCAUACGUCCUACGGGAGAAAGCAGGGGAUCACUUGUGACCUUCCGCUAAUAGCUGAGCCUAAGUCGGAUUAGCUAGUUGGUGGGGUAAAGGCCUACCAAGGCGACGUUCUGUAGCGGGUCUGAGAGGAUGAUCCGGCACACUGGGACUGAGACACGGCCCAGACUCCUACGGGAGGCAGCAGUGGGGAAUAUUGGACAAUGGGGGGAACCCUGAUCCAGCCAUGCCGCGUGUGUGAAGAAGGCCUUAUGGUUGUAAAGCACUUUAAGCGAGGAGGAGGCUCUUUUGGUUAAUACCCAAGAUGAGUGGACGUUACUCGCAGAAUAAGCACCGGCUAACUCUGUGCCAGCAGCCGCAGUAAAAC